rnacentral:rRNA from 1 species
GGGGGAAUGGGGGCAGACUAAAAUGCAGUCGAGCGGCAGCGGGGGGAAGCUUGCUUCCCCGCCGGCGAGCGGCGGACGGGUGAGUAAUGUCUGGGGAUCUGCCUGAUGGAGGGGGAUAACUACUGGAAACGGUAGCUAAUACCGCAUAACGUCGCAAGACCAAAGUGGGGGACCUUCGGGCCUCACGCCAUCGGAUGAACCCAGAUGGGAUUAGCUAGUAGGUGGGGUAACGGCUCACCUAGGCGACGAUCCCUAGCUGGUCUGAGAGGAUGACCAGCCACACUGGAACUGAGACACGGUCCAGACUCCUACGGGAGGCAGCAGUGGGGAAUAUUGCACAAUGGGGGAAACCCUGAUGCAGCCAUGCCGCGUGUGUGAAGAAGGCCUUCGGGUUGUAAAGCACUUUCAGCGGGGAGGAAGGCGGUAAGGUUAAUAACCUUGUCGAUUGACGUUACCCGCAGAAGAAGCACCGGCUAACUCCGUGCCAGCAGCCGCGGUAAUACGGAGGGUGCAAGCGUUAAUCGGAAUGACUGGGCGUAAAGCGCACGCAGGCGGUCUGUUAAGUUGGAUGUGAAAUCCCCGGGCUUAACCUGGGAACUGCAUUCAAAACUGACAGGCUAGAGUCUCGUAGAGGGGGGUAGAAUUCCAGGUGUAGCGGUGAAAUGCGUAGAGAUCUGGAGGAAUACCGGUGGCGAAGGCGGCCCCCUGGACGAAGACUGACGCUCAGGUGCGAAAGCGUGGGGAGCAAACAGGAUUAGAUACCCUGGUAGUCCACGCUGUAAACGAUGUCGAUUUGGAGGUUGUGCCCUUGAGGCGUGGCUUCCGGAGCUAACGCGUUAAAUCGACCGCCUGGGGAGUACGGCCGCAAGGUUAAAACUCAAAUGAAUUGACGGGGGCCCGCACAAGCGGUGGAGCAUGUGGUUUAAUUCGAUGCAACGCGAAGAACCUUACCUACUCUUGACAUCCAGCGAAGACUGCAGAGAUGCGGUCGUGCCUUCGGGAACGCUGAGACAGGUGCUGCAUGGCUGUCGUCAGCUCGUGUUGUGAAAUGUUGGGUUAAGUCCCGCAACGAGCGCAACCCUU